rnacentral:rRNA from 1 species
UACAGGGGGUGCAAGCGUUGUUCGGAAUUACUGGGCGUAAAGCGCGGGCAGGUGGCCUUUUAAGUCCUUUGUGAAAUCCCGGAGCUCAACUCCGGAUGUGCAUAGGAUACUGGAAGGCUUGGGACUGGUAGAGGCGAGCGGAAUUCCUGGUGUAGCGGUGGAAUGCGUAGAUAUCAGGAAGAACACCGGUGGCGAAGGCGGCGCUCUGGACCGAGACUGACGCUGAGGCGCGAAAGCGUGGGGAGCAAACAGG